UCGCAUAGAGAGACGGUCCGGCAGGUCCCCUCCUCUGCCACCAGUUUUUUUUUUUUUCUGGUCAUUUUUCCAGCCAUAGAGGGAGACGAUCCGGCUGGAACCCUCCUCUAUUAUCGGGCACUGUUCGGGCGCCGCUCGGGCGGAGCAAAUCCGGGGAAGCGUGGGGAGGGGCGAGGCCAGAUUUUUUUCACAGGAGUGCAUCAUAUUAGAUUAGUUCUGAUAAUUAGUUUGGUGGGUUUUUUUUGUUUUGAUUUUUAUCUGAUUUUUUUUUUGGGAAUGCGCGGGUGAAUUGUUGCCGUCCAUGUCUUUUGCAGUAAUUGGGAGGAUUUGAUUGUAAAAAAAGUACUAAUAGAGGAAGAUUUAUGACAGGACCUGAAAGAGGCUGAUACAAGCGACCAAAGAAUUUAUCUUCAUCAAAUGCUGAUAUAGUAGGUCGAGAAGAAGAUGUUAUAAUGCCUACUUCAAUUCCAGCAUCCACUAUGUCUAUAUUACCAAAUAGCAAUGAGACGUCUCCUGUUACAAAUACCACUAGAAGAGAUCUCAAUCCUCCUACUUUAAGAAGUAGUGAAAAUUAUUUCUUAUCUAGGAGAGAUCGUGGCACAUCAUGAUGCAUAGUAUUGGAUAAGAAAGUCAGUA